rnacentral:rRNA from 1 species
UACAGAGGUCUCAAGCGUUGUUCGGAUUUAUUGGGCGUAAAGGGCGCGUAGGCGGCGGGGUAAGUCGGGUGUGAAAUCUCAGGGCUCAACCCUGAAACUGCACUUGAUACUGCUCUGCUUGAGGACUGGAGAGGAGACUGGAAUUCACGGUGUAGCAGUGAAAUGCGUAGAUAUCGUGAGGAAGACCAGUGGCGAAGGCGGGUCUCUGGACAGUUCCUGACGCUGAGGCGCGAAGGCCAAGGGAGCAAACAGG